GUAGGUGUGGGAGGUACAGGUUGUUCCAGCUAGUUCCAUCGCCCCCCUUUCCACCCUUGCACAUUCUUCUCUUUCCCAUAAAGAUCAGUUCUGUAUUGACAGUUUCUGUCUGCACCCAAACAGGCAGGGAAAAAAAAAGUCCCAUCAGGGGUCGGCAGCAGCUAUGCUAACAUAUUUCCAAGAACUCGGGCUGCCCAGUCGGCUCCCACCUCAGAGGCACUUAGCGCCUACUUGAAAUCAAAGAUGGCUUGAGGAGGACACAGAGCCAGUCCAGGCACACGCACGACCUGGCACCCACACCCUGCCAGCCACCGAGGACAGAGCGAGUGAUGACCACCCCUGCCACGAGUGGCUCUUAGCCAGCCAACAAACAUCCAGAUGCCGUCCAUGUGUGUUCAGUUAUGUUUGCCGAGCUGCCGCUAUUGAACAAUCGCUUGCGUAGUGUUUAACGUGCGGCAGGAACCGGUCCAAGGACUUCAUAGAGAUAAGCUCAACGCAUCCCCCACGAACCUUCAAGAAACCAAUUCUCCUGCUGUGGAGACUGAGGCAGAGGACUGGGAACUCACCUGAGAUCCCACCACAGGUGGAGCAGCAAAGCCAGAGAGCAGGACCCAGGUAGCCGGCCCCACAGCUCAUGCUCACACCCCAGGCGGCAUGCCCAUCACUUUCGUUAAUCUGCUCAGCAUUUCCUGAGUUCUUUCUGAAUUCGAGGCAUUUUGCAAGGGGCCGUGGAUGCAGAGAGUAACUCUUACCAUUCCAAACCUUGAGAACAGAACAGGGAAGGGCCUCGCUUGCCUCUGCCUUGGGCACAGGGUGUGAUAUGUUAGCAGGGUCAAGAUUCUGUUUGGUAAGUGACUGAAAGUGGUGGCAUUGGAAAAGGUUGCUGAGUUUGGAGCCUGAGAACUUGGAUCUCUGCUGCUGGAAAGGAAAAUGUUUGGACAUGCUCAUCUGCAUUCAGGACAUGGAUACCCUGACAGUGUCAUUUUUAUGGGCCAAGCAACUGAAGUCCAGAGGGAUGCAGUAACUUACCUGAGGUCACACAGCUCCACGAGCAUCAUAAACAAUACCAGGAGGAACAAACUCUGUCACCAGCUGUGCUGUCUCCCACUGUCUGCUGAGAAGCAAUGGGAAGACUCACAAAGCUAUAGUGAGAGACGGUGAUGGUGACAGUGAUGACCAUAACGACAACCACAGUGGUGUUGACAGAGUCUGCGAGGGUGCUGAUGAUGGUACAUCCAAAGGAGAGGAAGUCAGGCGUGACCCUCCCGUGUUCCCCGUACCUCUAGCCACAGUAACCCAGAUCCAGACUCAACCUAGGGAAUGACUGGAUAGAGAAAAUGGAGUAUCGUUAUAACCAUUGUGCUGGUUAACACUGAUAUCAACUGGACGGGAUCCCCUGGAAUUCAGGACUGAAUCAAAAGGAUAGAAUGGACUGAGCAUCUGUCCCUCUGAUUGUGGAUGCGACGUGAUCUGCUGCCUGGUGAACUGUGCCAUCAAGUCGUGAGCCAGAGCAAACUCUUCCUUCUCAUGCCGAUUUUGCCACAGCAAUAGGAAAAGGAGCAAAUACACGCCCAACGGAAUGUUAUUCAGCCAUAAAAAAGAAUGAGAUUCCCGCCAUACGAGGCGGCGUGGAGGAGCCUGGCAGAUGCUAUGAAGUGAAAUAAGCCAGGCACGGAAGAAUAAAGACCAGCGCUGGCUCAUUCCCGUGUGAAAGCUGAAGUUGCUCUCACGGAAUCAGGGAGUGGAGUGUGGUCAGCAGGCCAGGAAGGGGGCGGGGCGAGGAGAAUCAGGGAGACGGGCUGGUGAACAGGUUCAGAAAUAGCUGGGAGGAUUGCUUUCUAGCUAGCUAUAGCACAGCUGGGCGACCACUGCCCACCACCCACGGGAGUUCACACUAGCUAGAAGACUUUGAAAACUCCCGACACAAGGGAUAGAGGGUAGCAACAAUGGGCAUACCCGUUUCCUGGUGCGCCCACAGGUGUACCAACUAAUCCUGACAGCCUACGUGAAUAUGCACAGGUAGAAGUGUCAAUCAAAAAAACAUAUAAGGACCCGAAGAAAAAAUAUGUAAAUUCGCGUUUAAAACACAAAGUGUGAUGGAAGGGACAGAGGAAAGCACUGGUCUCAGAGCCGACUUCUUGCUCUGUGAGAGGUCACAGCCUCCUUCUGAGUGUCUAAGGAGGGUGGACACUGGUGCCUGCCUGCCUACCAGCCUGAAGGCUUAAAAGUCUGUGACUUUCCUGUCUUCUUAUCGGGGACAUCCUGCCGUCACCUCUCCGGGUCUCUGUGGGAUGAAAUCAUGACCGUCUCUCCAGCACGGGAGGCACUGUUUCUUGCAUUUCUGGUCUGCAUAAUCGACGCAUUGCAUUGUGUAAAGACUGUUCUUGAUUGUCAAUUUGACUACAUCUGGGACUAACUAAAACCCCAAAACGGAGGGCACACCUGUGAGAGAUUUCUGCUUAAUUUCAAAUGGGAAGAUCUACGAAUCCAUAUCUUUAAGCUGGUACUGGCUCCAUAUGGCUCCUGUGGGUUCGUCCAGCAGUGUCCAGAAGUCGUCCAGGUUCUAUUUCAGAACCUCUGAAUCAGACAUCAUCAGGCGCGAGGACCCACUGGGCAAGCUCGGCAAGAACUGUGGGUAGACAGCGCCACCCAAUGGUCACUGCAGCAGCGAGCGGUGCAUUGACUUCUCAGUGGUCACUGGUGCCUGACACACGACGGAAAGUGACCAGAGCAAGAGUAGAAACCUGGGAUCUGACCUGCAGAUGUUUGACAGAUCUUUUUAAAUGGAUGGGUUGAUGGGCAACAGAUUUUUGGCGUCAGCUCUCUUCUUCCACCAUGGGACCCGGGGAUCAAAUCCAGGCCAGCGAGCUUACCCAGCAAGCACUUUUACCUGCUGAGCCAUCUCUCCAGCCCCGAACUUCUAAUAACCGGGCCAGCUUCAGACAUGUGAGGUCACAGACACCGCUGAAAUGAAAGAGGAGCCCCCGAGACCUGCCCUCUCUCAUUGGCCAUGGGAUGGCACAGCAGCUGGCACACAGCAGGAGCUCCAUUAUUAGUGUUAGCGGAAUGAAUGUACAGUUGGCGGGAAGAUGACCGGCAGAAGGGGUCGUGUAGAUCGGGUGAUUACAAGGCAUGAGCUGGACAGAGAACUGUAUAAGGUGGAAAGGCGUGAUAUACUUCAGAGAGAUGCGUUCCUCAUCUCGAGCAUGUGCUCUGCUCCAGACACUGCCCCUGGUGUGCAGAUAGCACGGAGAACAGAGGAGACAAGGUCCCUGCUCUCAAGGGACUGGUGUUUCCUCAUGGGGAAGCGGAUCAUAAAUAGAUAUAAUCACACAGUGUGACAUAAGAGGUGCUGGGAAGAAAAACAAAGUGGGCCAGGGAAGAUGGCUCAGCUGGUGUCGGAGCAUGAGGAUCUGAGUUUGGAUCUCCACAGCCCAUGUAAAAAGACGGCUGUGGUGCGUGCUUGCUAUCCUAGUGCUGGAAGUGGGGGGACAGGAAGAGCCCUGGUGCUUACUGGCCAGACAGUCUAGACCAACUGGCAAGUUUCAGGUUCAGCAAGAGACCCUGUUUAAAAAAAUAAAGUGGAGAGAAAUUGAGAAAGACACCCAGUGCUGACUUCUGACCUACACACACACACACACACACACACACACACACACACACACGGGAGGCGGGGGGAGAAGAAAGGAAAGGAGAGGAAAGGAUAACAAAACGGGCUAAAUGGAUGGUGGGGCCAUGGAGAUGCUAUUACAGAUAGUUAAAAGCCUCUAAGAAAAUAGUAUUCCAGCCUGGUGUGGUGGUACCUACCCAUAAUCCAAGGAGUUGGGAGGCUGAGGUUAGGGCAUUCAGAGUCCUAGCCCUGCCAGGGAGACAAAGUGAGAUCCUAGCUUAGAAAAAAAAAAGAUAACACUGGGGCUGGGGGUGUAGCUCAAUGGUGGAGCACUUGUCUGGCAUGAGCGAGGCCCUGGGCUCAAGCCCUGACACCCCAAAAUAAAAAAUGAUGGCAUUUGAGCAGAGACAUAAAGGAAGCCAUGCGGAUAUCUGAGGCAGGAGAUUUCCUCCCCAUUCGAACAGUUGAAAGGAGUGCGAAGGCAUUUCAUCCGGUACCCGGGCCUCAAUUUCAAUCGACUGAAACAAAAUAAAGGCUCUUUGAGGUGCAGACCUGAAAGCGGACCAGAAAUACACUCCACAUGAAAGGCAAACCUUUGCUUAAUCUGUUUUCACUGCUAUUGAAAUCUUAAGUGCCUCCUUUAUGGCAGAUGGCUCAAAACCUGCCGGGGGAAGAAAUGCUUCAGAAAUACAACUCCAAAUGAAAAACAAAACAACACGGAAGACAGCCGUGAUAAUGGCCUCGCGUGAAAUGACUGGAAGUUGUGAGCGCUCCGCUUGAUGAGAUUAAACAGUUGGAGGCAAAUGAUGCAGAGCCCUGUGGAGGAAAAUAUUCAGAUAAAUCAUUGCAAGAUCCCUAGUGGAAGCACAACCCACUUGGAGAUGUUCUUUUUGGGGAAACAGUCUGCUCAUUCCGGAAACAUUAGCUGGGCACAGUAGUGAAUGCCUGUGGUAAGAGCACCUGCGAUGCUGAGGCAGGAGGAUGAUGAGUUUCAGGUCAGUCUGGACUCUGUGGCAAGGCACUCUCUCAGAAAAGGAGCUAUCAUUGAGCAGCCAAGUGUCUGCAAUGUUCGUGUUUGCUGACUUGGAAAAUGAACUAGGGGAUGAGGGUGAGGCUCAGUCAGCAGAGAGCAGCCUAGCAUCAGUGCACCCCCGUUCCAUCCUCAGCACUGGGCGUGGUAGUGUGUGCCUGCACUUGCAGUGCUGGGGAGGUCAGAGCUAAGGGAAUCAGAAGUUCGAGGUCAUCCUCUGCUACACAGUGGGUUGGGGCUCUGUCUGUGCAUGUAGCCUGGACUACCUGAGAUCCUAGCUCAAAAAGAUGAAAAAAGGAAAGAGGACUGGAACUCAUAUCUCCUCUUACGAGGUUUCAGUCUGGUCCCAGGCUUAUCCUUUGAUUUGGUAUUUUAUUCUUUAAUCUCAUCCUUUACUGUUCAUCUUUUAUUUCCAGACCCAUCCCUCUUAUCCCAUAGGCAUGAUCCUCAGGCUCUCUGUCAUUCUGUCUGUGCUUACAGAUGCAUUUACAUUUUAACCACACAUAGCCACCUAGCCAAACAACUUAACUAUUGCCUCAUGUGUGCUUAGCGAACACAUCUGACACUUGGCUGUAUCAGCCGCUCUCUGUCUUUGAGGCACAUUGAUGUUGACUGGUACGGAUCCAGUCCUUUAGACAGUGACACUGAGUUCUUCAGUCACGCACAUUAUGUUUUAUUGACUAAUUCUCUGCUGAAGAACAUAGACGCUGCAUCCAAGUGUGCUAUAGAACUGCUGGGACUUACUUCUGUGAGUUCAGGCCAGACGUUUCCCUGGGUUGGAACACAGCUGUGAUCUGUGAUCUAAAGUGGUCUGUGCCACUAGGCAGCCUGUCACGACAGCUUUCCAAACGGACUGGACCAGUUCUCGCCCUGCACAGCAGGGCCUUGUUUCAGUUGGUUUUCUCCUGGUGACGGGAACAGCUUGGUCAAGGAAAGGUUUGUUUAGGUUCAUGGUUUCGGAGGGAUUGCUGCUUGUCUCAGUAGGGCAGCCACAACAGCAGAUGUGGUUUGUUCUGUGGCGACAGGAGCAUAGUGUGGAUCAGGAAGCUGAGAAUGGGCUGCACAGCAAGGCCAGUGUCUCAGUUAGGGUCACUGUUGCUGUGACCAAACACCACAAGCAAAAGUACCUUUAAAGGGGAAGGGUUGACUUGGCUUACUCUUCCACACCACUGUUCGUCAUCAAAGGGAGUUAAAAAGGAAUACAAGCAGGACAGGAACCUGCCUCCAGGUUGAUGCAGAGACCAUGGAGGAGCUCUGCUUACUGACUUGCUCUCCAGGGAGGCUGAUUUCUUAUAGAGCCCAAGACCACCAGCCAAGGAGUGGCCUGUCCCACAAUGGGACUGGGCCCUCCACCAUCCAUCGUUAAUUAAGAAAAUGGCCUAACGGCUUGCCUGCAGGAUAAUAUUAAAAAGGCAUUCUUCUCAAUUAAAAUUCCCUCUUCUCAGAUGACGAUAGCUUGUGUCAAGCUGACAUAAAACUAGCCAGCACAGCCAGUCUAUGACCCUUAAAGGCCCAUCUCCAGUGCCACCUCCACCAGCCAGACCCUACCUCCUAAAGGUCCCACAGCCUCCCAAAACAGUGCCACUAGCUUGUGUUCUUACAUAUGGCAGGAGGGAGGGCUUUCACACUCACAUUGAAAACUCUACCCCAGUGCACAGUCACUGCACAAUGCAAAAUGCAUUCUG